CCUACGGGAGGCAGCAGUGGGGAAUAUUGGACAAUGGGCGAAAGCCUGAUCCAGCAACGCCGCGUGAGGGAUGACGGCCUUCGGGUUGUAAACCUCUUUCAGUAGGGACGAAGCGCAAGUGACGGUACCUACAGAAGAAGCACCGGCCAACUACGUGCCAGCAGCCGCGGUAAU
rnacentral:rRNA from 1 species